UCUCAUAUCUAGCCAAAGUGCAGACCAGAUAUUGUUAGCACGACUGCGAGAAGUGCUUGUUUGACAGACAGUAAGGGCAUACGCCAAAGCCUCUGCGUUGAGCCUUGUUUUGUUAGUGUAUUUCCAAAUAAAUUUGCAAACUCGAUUUCUGGAAAGUUUCGAAAGCUUAGCCUAAUACAUCAUUAGAUGGCAGAAGAGGCUCCAUAGACUAUAUCGCACAUUACAUUAUACAGUAACACACUGCUAAAAUCAAGUAUACCCUUGGCCUAGGUAACUGUGUCUACAGCACAAACAAAUACAACUGUACACAUCGAUUUAUGAACAUCUGAAUUGGAGCCCCAGAUUAAUAGAUCAUCUGAAAACAUACGCAUCACCCUGAAGAGAAACAACCAAUGGAAAGGGCCGACAUGUUUUCUCCUUAACGUGAAAGGAAAUAGAAUUUACUGGACUGUGCAAUGCGUUAUGAAAACUGUACAACAGGGGGUCAGUUCACAAAGUCCCUCUCCAACAGCGAGAGUUAUACACCUUGAAGACACCGCAGAUGGAAACGCCAAGACCUUACGAAAAGAGAGUCCAGUAAACAACGCCUGCUAACGUUGACAACGAAUGCAAUGUACGAGAGUGGUUAAGAGACAUCAGUGAACGAAAGAAAUGAAUGACUGAUCAGAGCGUCAUCUGUAGUCCGAAACUGUGUAGGGUUACGUCCGCUAACCUACAGUAUACUGGCAGAGAUUAAAGAUACCACAAUCAAGAAGGGAGUGUUUAAGAGAGCCAGCCCCACAGUUGAAAACCCAUACUUAUUUGUAAGAAUCUCGUAGUUACGUUCCAGCCACACUUUGACUCGCUACUGCUCUCGGUAAUUUUAGCAAAGCCAGCAAUGUUUCCUGCAGAUGAUUGGUCAAAAUGAUAGACGGUUCUUUGAGGCGACACCCGGAGUUUGUCACGAUCGUUGCAGUGACAAUGUUUUUCUUUUAGGGUUGUGACGCCAUGUGGACUAGUAGGAAGUUUAGGAGAAACAUCGUCAGACCAUAAGAUGGAGACAGUUAUUCCGAAACGGCAUUACAGCCCAGAUAACAGUCAUAAAGUAUCUGUACUGACAGCUGCUUGAAUAGAUUCCACCAUUAUACUCUACAUUACGACAAAGCAGGUUUGCUUAACAGAUUAUCUGAUUUCGUGACAAAUUCAGUCACUCGGUGUGGUUCCUAAAUAAAUAACUUAUAACUCUUA